AUAAAUACUUUAAAGAUUCACGAAGGUGAGUGAAUUCCAAUAAGAUCAUCUCAAGGAAAACCAUGUUGAGGCAAUAAACUAAAGAAAAGACAUUUUUUUUUUAACCUGGAAAGCAGCCAAAGAAAACUGACUUAUCCAGGUUGAGUAUUCCUAAUCUGAAAACUCAGUAAUCUAAAAUCCGAAACUUUGAGUGUUGACACGAUGCUCAAAGGAAAUAUUCAUUGGAGCAUUUUGGACUUCAAAUUUUUGAAUUAGGAAUGCAGGGCGGGGCACAGUGUCUCAUCCCAACACUUUGGGGGGUCGAAGUGGGAGGCUCACUUGAGCCCAGGAGUUGGAGACCAGCCUAGGCAACUUGGCAAAAUCCUGUCUCUACUAAAAAUAAACCAAGUGUGGUGGUGUGCACCUGUAGUCCCAGCCACUCAGGAGGCCCAGGCGGGAGGAUCGCCUGAACCCAGGAAGCUGAAACUGGACUGAGCCGUGACUGCACCACCACACUCCAGCUUGGGCAAUGGGAGUGAGACCUUGUCUCAAAAAACAGACAAACAAGGAUGCUGAAAUGGAAAGUACACUGCAAAUAUUCAAAAAUAAAGAUUAAAAAAAUUGCAUUCUGAGGCCGGGCGCAGUGGCUCACGCCCGUAAUCCCAGCACUUGGGGAGGCCGAGGUGGGCAGAUCACGAGGUCAGGAGAUCGAGACCAUCCUGGCUAACACGGUGAAACCCCGUCUCUACUAAAAAUACAAAAAAUUAGCCGGGCGUGGUGGCGGGUGCCUGUAGUCCCAGCUACUUGGGAGGCUGAGGCAGGAGAAUGGCGUGAACCCGGGAGGCGUAGCUUGCAGUGAGCUGAGAUCGCACCACUGCACUCCAGCCUGGGUGACAGAGCGAGACUCCGUCUCAAAAACAACAACAACAAAGUAAAUGUAAAGCAAGCAGGCAACAAAAUUGAAAAAAGAAAUCAAAAUUGAGGGGAAAAAAUAAAACUUUUUUUUAUUUGUAGAGACGGGUCUUGCUAUGUUGCCCAGGAUGGUCUCGAACUCCUGGACUCAAGCUAUUCUCCUGCCUUGGCCUCCCAAAGUACUGGGAUUACAAGCAUGAGCCACCAUGCUUGGCCACUUCUAAUUAAAAAAAAAAAAAAAAAAAUAGAAAACAGGCUGGGUGUGGUGGCUCACGCCUGAAAUCCCAGCACUUUCGGAGGCCAAGGUGGGUGGAUUACCUGAGGUCAGGAGUUGAAGACCAGCCUGGCCAAGAAGGUGAAACCCCAUCUCUACCAAAAAUACAAAAACUAGCCAGGUGUGAUGGCACGCAUCUGUGAUCCCAGCUACUCAGGAGGCUGAGGCAGGAGAAUCACUUUGAAGCCAGGAGGCAGAGGUUGCAGUGAGCCGAGACCUCGCCAUUGCACUCCAGCCUGGGUGACAAGAGUGAAACUCUGUCUCAAAACAGAACAGAACGAAACACACAAAGGAAUAAGAACAAUGAGCCAUUCAUGAGGUUGGGGCAGGGGACAUAGUGACAGAAACCAUCCUUGAAGAAGCCUGGAAAUUGGACUUACUAGACAAACACUUUGUCUUAAAUAUGCUCAAGGGGCUGAAGGGAACCAGGACAAAGAAGUAAAAUAAGAACAAAGCCAGGUGUGGUGGCUCACGCCUACAGUCUCAGCACUUUGGGAGGCUAAAAUGGGGAGACAGCUUGAGCCCAAGAGCUCAAGACCAGGCUGGGCAACAUAGUGGGACUCUGUCUCUACCAAAAAAAAAAAAAAAUCAGCUAGGCAUGGUGGCAUGUGUCUGAGGUCCCAGCUACUCCGAAGGUUCAGGUGGGAAGAUUGCUUGAACCUGGGAAGUUAAGGCCUCAGUACACCGUGAUCACACCACUGCAGUUUAGCCUGAACAGUAGAGCCAGACACUGCCCCUCCCUCUGCCCCAAAAAGAAAGAAAUAUGAACAGUGUGAAACAUUUGGAAAUAGCAGAAAAUAGAAAUUAUAAAAAGAGACUAAAAAGAAAGUCUAGGCCUGAAAAGUAAAAUAGCUAACAUAAGAAAUUCACUAAAGGAAUUUGGAUUUCAGCAGGCAUCAGAAAGCAGCCGUGAACUUGAAGGUAGGUCAGUGAAAUUACCCAGUCUAAGCAGCAGAGAAGAAGAAUGCAGGGAAAGUGAACAAUAAGGGGCCUAUGGGAUACCAUCGAGCAUAACAACAUAAGCAUUAUGAAAUUUCAGAAGCAGAGAAAGAGAAGAAGACACACUUCAGGAAAUAAUCAAUGAAAACUUCCCUGAUCUGAUAAAGACAUGAAUCUACACAUCCAAUAAGCUCAACGAAAUCCAAGCAGGAAAAAUGCAAAGAGACCCAGAGCUAACCGUAUACAUACUCAGCAGUAAAAGACUGAAAGCUUUUCCUUUCAGAUCAGGAACAAGAAUACCUGCCUUCACUACUGCUGGUCAGCACUGUACUGGAAGUCUUAGCUAGAGCCAUUGACCAAGAAACGCAGGCAUCUACAUUGGAAGGGGUGAAAACUCUCCUUGCAGAUGGAAUGAUUAUGUGUAGAAACUUCCACAGAAUACACACACACUCAACCUACUAGAGCCUGACACAUGAAUUCAGCAGUGUGGUAGUGUACGAGAUCAAGAUAAAAAUAAGUUGUAUUUAUAUGCACCAGCAAUAAACAAUCAAAAAGGAAAUUAAGGCCAGGCGUGGUGACUCCGCCUGUAACAGUUUGGGAGAGCAAGGCAGGAGGAUCGCUUCCGCCCAGGAGUUUUUUUUGUGUGUGUGUUUUGUGUUUUUUUUGUUUUUUUUUUUGAGAUGGGAGUUUCGCUCGUGUUGCCCAGGCUGGAGUGCAAUGGCGCAAUCUCGGCUCACUGCAACCUGCGCCCCCUGGGUUCGAUCGACUUCUCCUGCCUCAGCUUCCCAAGUAGCUGGGAUUGCAGUCAUGCACCACCACGCCCGGCUCAUUUUGUAUUUUUUUAGUAGAGACGGGGUUUCUCCAUGUCGGUCAGGCUAGUCCCGAACUCCUGACCUCGGGUCAUCCGCCCACCUCGGCUUCCCAAAGUGCUGGCAUUACAGGCGUGAGCCACCAUGCCCAGCUCCGCCCAGGAGUUUGAGACGAAACUGGGCAACAACACAGGGUGACCCCCACCUCUAAAACAAAAUCAUAAAAUUAAGAAUUAGCUAGGUAGGCUGAGUGCAGUAGCCCACACCUGUAAUCCCAGCACUUUGGGAGGCAGAGGCAGGCGGAUCACCUGAGGUCAGGAGUUUGGGACCAGCCUGGCCAACAUGGUGAAACCCCAUCUCUUCUAAAAAUACAAAAAAUUAGCCGGGCGUGGUGGUGCACACCUGUAAUCCCAGCUACUUGAGAGGUGGAGGCAGGAGAAUUUCUUGAACCCGGGAGGUGGAAGUUGCAGUGAGCCGAGGUUGAGCCACUGCACUCCAGCCUGGGAGACAAAGCGAAACUCCGUUUCAAAAACAAACAAACAAAACAUAAAGAAAUUAGCCAGGCAUGGUGGUGCAUGCCUAUGGUCCUAGCUAUUUGGGAAACUGGAGCAGAAGGAUCACUUGAGCCCAGGAGGGCGAGGCUGCAGUGAGCCUUGAUUGCACCCCGGCACUCCAGCCUGGGUGACAGAGCCAAAAAAAAAAAGAAAAAAAGAAGCACGGCUGGGCACGGUGGCUCACACCUGUAAUCCCAAUACUUUGGGAGGCUGAGGUGGGAGGACUGCUUCAGGCCAGGUGUUCAAGACCAGCCUGGAGAACACAGACACCGUCUCUACAAAACAAUAACAAAAAUUAGCCGGGCGUGGUGGUGCACGCCUGUAGUCCCGGCUACUCAGGAGGCUGAGGUGGGAGGAUCACGUGAAUCCAGGAGACAGAGGUUGCAGUGAGCUGAGAUUGCAUCACCACACUCCAGCCUGGAGUGAGACCCUGUCUCAAAAAAAAAAAGGAUAGGCAGCUGUCGUAUAUGCUGAUAAUGGUAAAAAUAAUGUGAGACAUAAGUUCAAGUCCCUUGUGCAAAUACUGAAACUGAGGUAGAAAAAUGCUGAUUUUCUGGAGUUACACUCUGCUAUCAAGGUCAGGAGGACACCCUUUUCCACAGUAUCUGGCCAGAUCCUUGCCUGUUUUUUCCACAUACCCGAGAGAGAUUAGGAGAUAAUUAGCCCUCAGCUCGCAUGCCCCAGAAGCGUCGUCAGACUCACCAUCUGAAACAUCUUACACAGAUGACAGGCUUCUGGCUGGCAGCCAGCAUGGACAACUCAAGAUGGGGCCGCAGGUGUCUGUGGGAGGCUCAGAGCAAAUGUCGGGGGAUUCACGGCCUCUACAGACGGUGGCGUCUCUCUUGAACAGAGCUACAAAAGAAAUGACAUUUCACUAGAUGCCACCUCAGUCUCAAGUCUACAUUUGCUUUUGUUAAAACCCAUUGUAUGUCUACAUUUUGGUGGAUGUUGCGUAAGACAAAUCAUUUUAAAAUUAAUGCCAAAACCACAAAAUCACUAACCUGAUACGAAAUUCCAGAAUGCGGCAAGAAUAUUACAAGCUAAAUUAGAAAUAAGAAUCCUCUAUACAUAUACAUCCAAAAAAAAAAAAAAUCCCCAAGUAUUAGUAGAAUUCUUUUUUUUUUUUCCUGAGAUAGAGUCUCUGUCACCCAGGCAGGCGUGCAGUGCUGCGAUCUCGGCUCACUGCAGCCUCCAUCUGCCCGGUUCAACUGAUUCUCCUGCCUCACGCUCCCAAGUAGCUGGGACUACAGGCACGCGCCACCACGCCUGGUUAAUUUUUGUAUUUUUAGUAGAGACAGGGUUUCACCAUGUUGGCCAGGCUGGUCUCGAGCUCCUGACCUCAGGUGAUCCACCCACCUCAGGCUCCCAAAGUGCUGGGAUUACAGGCGUGAGCCACCGCGCCUGGCGAAUUCAGCAGUAUUUAAGGAUAACACACUGUGACCAAGUGGGCUUUCCCACAGGACAGCAAGGUUGGCUCAACAUUCAAAAAUCAACGUGAUGCUCCACGUUCACGGCGUAAAAGAUAGGUGUGAUCAUCACAACAGAUGCAGAAAAGUCACUUAACAAAAUUCAACAGCCAUUCCUAGCGGCAGGCAGGGUCACCCCCAAGUCCCCACUCAAUAAAGGAAAAUCAGGAGGCAUCCUCCAAGAAGACCCAGAUGCUGGAAUCGGCAGACAAGGACUUGAAAGCGCACAGAGCGCGUACAAAUGGGCAGACACAAGUCAUCAGCCACGAAUUAGAAACCAACUUUAGAACUGACAAAUGUAUCUGAAAUAAAAAAGGCGGCCAGGCGUGGUGGCUGUAAUCCGAGCACUUUGGGAGGCCAAGGUGGGAAGAUCGCUUGAGCCCAGGAGGUGGAGGAGAAACCCCGUCUCUACCAAAACAAUUUUUUAAAUAAAAAUAGAUGUUACGUUCAGGUGUGGGGUUGUCUGAGAGUGAUCUUCUCUGGAGGUAGAAACACG
rnacentral:lncRNA from 1 species